UACGUAGGGUGCAAGCGUUAUCCGGAAUUAUUGGGCGGAAAGAGCUCGUAGGCGGUUUGUCGCGUCUGCUGUGAAAACUGGGGGCUCAACCCCCAGCCUGCAGUGGGUACGGGCAGACUAGAGUGCGGUAGGGGAGAUUGGAAUUCCUGGUGUAGCGGUGGAAUGCGCAGAUAUCAGGAGGAACACCGAUGGCGAAGGCAGAUCUCUGGGCCGUAACUGACGCUGAGGAGCGAAAGCAUGGGGAGCGAACAGG
rnacentral:rRNA from 1 species